rfam:Alligator mississippiensis ScZkoYb_2987, whole genome shotgun sequence.
CCACAAGGACGACACCAGCGAACUCUCUCUUGCUGAUGCUUCAGUGGAGAAAGCCUUUACCAGAUUCUGAGUGGC